CAAGAAGGAUCGUUGGUGGAGAAAUAAAAUAAAACUGGCUGUCUUGGAACUCUUACCCAACCGAUGCUUUAGCACCAAAUUCACAAUAGGGAUGGCUGGAAGAAUUUGUGGUCAAAACUGCAUAUUUGGUGUACUCUAGAGGAUUCUAUAUAUCUGUUGGACCAAUAUUUAGCUUCCACUUGGCAUCCGAAGAGUUUCGGAGGUAAUACUAUGGACUUUUCUCAAUAACUGAAUGAAGUAUUCCGUAGUUUACAGUACUCGUAACAUUCUGAAGAAUUCUAAUAUUCAUAUUUUUGUCCAUCAAAGUCCCAUAGUGCAACCGCCGCAGUAACAUCAGCACAGGUGGACAAAAUAAACAUAUAAAAAAAUAGAAAAAUGGUCGAUUUUGGCGAAGGAAAAAAAGCCGCACAGCUCACAGGAGACACACACAAAUAAUCAGUCCCCAGCACAACGUGACGACCGAAUGGAGGUGUGCGGAUUUUACAUGCCCCGGGGCCGAACUUGCCAGCUCUACCCGCACCCGCUAGACACCGACAGACACCUGCUCGCCCUCGGGGGAGUUGUAAGAUGCAUCUGCAUUUUCUCUGCAUUCGCGAGAAAGGGGGAAAUGGAGCAACGGAGUUGACUUUCGUGCGGAAGGAUAAUGAGACAUGCAAUACAUUAUUCAGCUGCCCGGGGGGGCAAGGGCUUGCUGGUCGUCCGGAGGGAAGUUGGUGAGAAAGCAACACACACCGCGCGAAAAAAGGCUUCUCAUUCUCCCAGGAGGGAAAGCUCAUUUUGCGGAGUAUGGAAAAUGGAUGCUCGUUUCGCUGAAUCACAACAGCAAACGGACGAGGUUUUUUUGCCCCUUUUUGGACGAGCUGUAAUAAAUAUUCGCGAAAUAGA